UUCUCACACCUUAUUACUAUUUCUGAGGAAAAGAAAAUAUGGGUAAAAGGCAAGUUGAUUGCUUCAAUGGAGGUGAAGUGUGGAGGACACUUAAUUCAUGAUCUUUUGCACACCAAUACUCAUCAAGCAGCCAACAUAAGUCCUACUAUCAACCUUUUCGAGGUUCAUGAGGGUGAAAUAGGAAACGUUGGUACGAUUAUUAACUUGAAAUAUAAUGAAGAUGGACAAGAAAAGACUUGCAAGUAUGAAAUUGAAGCCAUUGAUCGUUACAAGAAAUCAAUAAGCCGGAAAGUGAUUGAUGGAGAUUUGUUAGAGUUCUAUAGUUCCUUUACGAUCAUAUCAUCCUGUGAACAACAAUGGAUAACAUGAACAUUUGAGUAUGAAAAGAGAGUUGAAAACAACCCAGAGCCCCUUAAUUUCUUGGGGUUUAUUCUUAAUAUGACAAAGGAUAUUGAGGGUCACUUUCUGAAAAAAUAGAAAAAAUCUAUUAUGUUAUACAUGUUUAUAUGUCUAUACACAUAAACAUGCGUGUGUGUUGAAUAAAUUGAAAUAUUCAUAAAUAUUUAAUAUUAUAUUUGAAGAAUAUACUAAAUAAAUAAUCAAUAUUGCAUUUGAAGCAGUGACGGAGCUAGAAUUUUAUCUAAGGUGUGUCAAAAUAUUAAGAAAUAAAAUCGUGUAGAAGCCAAGGAGUGACAAUAUGUAAUAUAUAUACAUAAAAAAUAAUUUCUAUUCUAGCUACAUAAUGUAAUUUUCCGACGAAGAGUUGUGGUUCGACCCUCCUUAACUAUAUGUGGCUCCGCCACUAUUUCUUGGCAUAGAAAUAGUGCAUCUGUUGAUGGAAUAUUUAUUUCUCAAAAGAAGUUUUUUGCAAGAAAUUCUAAUCAGGUUCCGCAUGAGCAAUGCUAAUCCCGUUAGAUAUUGUCUUGAAGCAUACAAAGGAUAUUGGAGAGAAAAAGGUCGAUGAUACUUUUUUCGAACAAAUUGUGAGAAGUGUGAUGUACUUGAAAACAACUAGGCCAGACAUCCAUAUGUCGUAAGUCUCAUUAGGAAAUUCAUGGAGAAUCCAAAAGAAUUGCAUCUUUUGGCUGCAAAUAGGAUCCUUCGGUACUUAAAAUGUAUCAUAGAUUUUUGUUCUAUAAAAAGGGUGAUAUGGCAGAUUUGAUUGCGUUAUGUAAUAGUGAUUAUGCUGGAGAUAUAGAUGAUCACAAGAGUACAUUGGGUUAUGCAUUAUACUAAGUUAAGUAUAGUCUCAUGGUCAUCAAAGAAGCACCCAAUCGCCACUUUGUCAACAACUGAAGCUGAAUUUGUUGUUGCAAUUGUAUGUGUGUCACAAGCUAUUUGGCUGAGAAAUAUCACUGAAGAUGGAGUAAUUGAUCUUA